rnacentral:rRNA from 1 species
UACGGAGUAUGCGAGCGUUAUCCGGAUUUAUUGGGUUUAAAGGGUGCGCAGGCGGCACGGCAAGCCGGCGGUCAAAUCGCGGGGCUCAACCCCGCCCAGCCGUCGGAACUGCCGGGCUAGAGUGGGCGAGAAGUGCGCGGAAUGCGUGGUGUAGCGGUGAAAUGCAUAGAUAUCACGCAGAACUCCGAUUGCGAAGGCAGCGCACCGGCGCCCUACUGACGCUCAGGCACGAAAGCGUGGGUAUCGAACAGG